UACGAAGGGGGCUAGCGUUGUUCGGAAUUACUGGGCGUAAAGCGCACGUAGGCGGAUACUUAAGUCAGGGGUGAAAUCCCGGGGCUCAACCCCGGAACUGCCUUUGAUACUGGGUAUCUCGAGUCCGGAAGAGGUGAGUGGAAUUCCGAGUGUAGAGGUGAAAUUCGUAGAUAUUCGGAGGAACACCAGUGGCGAAGGCGGCUCACUGGUCCAUUACUGACGCUGAGGUGCGAAAGCGUGGGGAGCAAACAGG
rnacentral:rRNA from 1 species